rnacentral:ncRNA from 1 species
GACGAUAAAUGGCUAACCCUGCCGAAAGGCGGGGGGCGCAAAGCCGCGGGGCUAAAGGGACAAGGGUCCACACGCCGGACGGGCUGCCGAA